rnacentral:rRNA from 1 species
UACGGAAGGCAGCAGUGGGGAAUAUUGCACAAUGGGCGCAAGCCUGAUGCAGCCAUGCCGCGUGUAUGAAAAGGCCUUCGGGUUGUAAAGUACUUUCAGUCGUGAGGAAGGUGUUAAGGUUAAUAACCUUAGCAAUUGACGUUAGCGACAGAAGAAGCACCGGCUAACUCCGUGCCAGCAGCCGCGGUAAUACGGAGGGUGCGAGCGUUAAUCGGAAUUACUGGGCGUAAAGGGCACGCAGGCGGUUAAUUAAGUUGGAUGUGAAAUCCCCGGGCUUAACCUGGGAAUGGCAUUCAAGACUGGUUAGCUAGAGUCUUGUAGAGGGGGUAGAAUUCCAUGUGUAGCGGUGAAAUGCGUAGAGAUGUGGAGGAAUACCGGUGGCGAAGGCGGCCCCUGGACAAAGACUGACGCUCAUGUGCGAAAGCGUGGGGAGCAAACAGGGAUUAGAUACC